CGGACGCUGCCGGGAGCGUGCGUCGUGACGUCAUCAAAAGACCUGUUAUAAACAGGAGCCCAGGCACCAUCUUGUCUUUUCGAGGUAGGAGUCGACUUUUGUGAGGUAUGGUGCUGGGUGCAGAUGCAGUGUGGCUCUGGGUAGCACCUUAUGGACAGUUGUGUCCCAAAGGACGGAUGAGAAUAGCUACUGAAGUCCUAAAGAGCAAGCCUAACUCAAGCCAUUGGCACACAGGCAUUAGACAGAAAGCUGGAAGUUGAAAUGGUGGAGUCCAACUUGUCUGGACCAGCCUAAUGUUUCUGCUCCUGGUAACGUUUUUAUCCAUGGAUGGCUUGCUUGGAUAAGGACAUGAAGACAGUUCCUGUCAUACCUUUUAAAGGUAUGGAGAGUCGGCUUGACUACACGGUGUGGAGCAAGUUUUAAAGAAGCAAAGGUAUAGCAGUCCCAAGUAUUUUUUUUUUUUUUUUUUUUUUGAGACAAGAGUCUAGCUCUUGCCCAGAAUGGAGUGCAGCAGCACUAUCAGCUCACUGCAACCUCUGCCUCCCGGGUUCAAGGAAUUCUCCUGCCUCAGCCUCCUGAGUAGCUGGGAUUACAGGCAUGUGACACCAUGCCUGGCUAAUUUUUGUACAGCUAUGUUGUCCAGGCUGGUCUUGAACUCUUGACCUCAAGUGAUCUGCCCUCCUCGUUCUCCCAAAGUGCUGGGAUUACGGGCGUGAGCCACUGUGCCCGCCUCAAGUCUGGUUUUUAAGUGUUGGAAAAGCCGAUACAAUGAUGAUAACAUAGUUCAGCAGACUAACGUUGAUGAGCAAUAUUAAGUCUUUCGCUCCUAUCUGAUGUAUCUGGCAGUAACAUUCUAGUUUAUGCCCUGGAAAGGGGAAUAUAGCCAUUCUAUAAUGUUUGGAGAUUUUGGAUUACUCCUAAUUGUAUGCAAGUUGUCUUACGGUGUAUUGUCCCUUAAUUUCAGGACUCAGAAUUCAUGCUUGAAGAAAUGCAGGUUAGUUUAAACUUUUAAGGAAAUUUUUAAGGUGGCAAAAGGUUUUGGUGGCAUAUACACCUUAAUCUGUAGAUGGGAGUGAUUAGCUGUUUAAAAGUUAAAAUGUGACUGAGAAGGAAAUCUAGUAGGGCAAAUUUUAAAUGGGUAUUAUUUUUCAUCUUCAAACAGGCAGACCUGUUAUCCUAAACUAGGUGAGUCAGCUUUUGGUACUUGUGAUAAUUUUCAACGUAACCAAUGAUGUAAUGAUUCUGCCAAAUGAAAUAUAAUGAUAUCACUAUAAAACCGUUCCAUUUUGAUUCUGAGGUUACUCUACUAACAAGCAUCACACAUUUGUUUUUUGCCAUGAUUAAUAUAUUGGCUUUGCUUUCAGGGUUUUUAAUUGACCACAACAAGCAAGCAUGCAGCUUACUGCUUGAAAGACAGGGUCUUGCCUCACUCAAGCUGGAGUGCAGUGGCCUUUGAAGCUUACUACAGCCUCAAACUUCUGGGCCCAAGUGAUCCUCAGCCUCCCAAUGGUCUUUGUAGACCGCCUGAUGGAGUCUCGUGGCACAAGAAGAUUAAAACAAUGUCUCCAAUUUUAAUAAAUUUUUGCAAUCCAUCUGGAGUGUGUAGUGUUUACUUGAAAAAAGACAGUGCUUUUCAUUUGUUCAUUAGUUGUAAGCAUAAAUUACAUUCAAAGGCUAUUAUAACUCCGUGGCAUUUGCUUCAUUAACACUGCAGCCAGUUAAAAUUUUAUGGGUAUUUUACAAGGUGUCUUAUGCAUUAAAGUGCAAUAUUUCCUAAUUCUCCAUAUGAGCAAAUUGUCAGGUUUCAUAGGCCCCCGUGCUAAUUGGUUUUGAGCUUAAAGUAUUGAUGGAGCUAUUUGGAGAAAGUCAUGGUGAGUCUGAGGCUGGGAAAGUAAGUUACAGAAGACACUAUAGAAAUGCCCAACUAGUGAUAGGAAUUAAUGGAAUUGGGAAGAUCUACAAUCCAUAGCCAUGGUGAUAGGUUUUUGGCAAGCAAGUGUUAAGGGUUGCCAAAAGUGGGUAAAAGGGGCACAACUGGUUUAAGGCAAUCUACCCCCAGGGAAACAGGUAGAUUGGGGCCAAAAUUCCAAGGUGGGUCAGUUUUUAUUUCAGUGUCAAUAC